CUUCUAUUAAAAAUAAAUAGACUUACAUUAUUUUCUGCUUCCUAGUCUAUCAUCUUGUACACAUAUAAGGAUAUUCAUAGUCAACUUUAACUGAGUGGUUUUCUUUAUAGAAGGAAGAAUAAUGACUCACUGUCCCACCCAAGGCCAUGUACAGCUUUGCUUUCCUUUAGUUUUGGCUGGUUUUCACUUCUGUGGUCCUUCCCUGCCAGAUAACACCUUAUAAUUUCAUUAAGAUAGUUAUAUCUUCAUGUUUUUAUUACUAUUCUGUUUGUUGAAACAUUCUUACUCUUUACCUUUUCAUGGGAAGAGUCUUAACUAUGCUCAUUAGUAAUGACUUGUUAUGAAAAUUAUUCUAGUGAUACAAACAUUGGAAAUGCUUAGCACCAGUUGAGCUCUUUAUAAGUGGCAUCUGCUAUUCCGAGAUGCCAUUAGUUUUAUAUUUUAAUCUUAAAACCAAGGUGUGUAUAUAAAAUAUAUAUAUAUUCCACCACCACAAUGCCAUUAUCAAAUUUAGAGAACACUUUUCACUGUCACUGUUGAUGGCUUUGUAAAAUUGAGGAAACAGCUUUGUAGCUGUGUUUCUUGUGCUCACACUGUUUUGACAUGCCUGCUUCAGUAGUGUGCAUUUUAUGUAAUUGAUGCUAUUUUGUACCUUACUUUGCCCUUUCCCUGUGAAGUGAAAGAUCAUUGAUCCUGAGUUCCAUAAAUGCACACCUUGCACGUACUCUAUGUUAGCAAAUAAGGACAGGAAGAGUAAAUGGCUUUACUCACUUCCCGAGCUACCUUAGGAGCUUUGUCUUGACCAGCUUUGAUCUUGUUUCUUGCUACUGUGGAAUUAAUUUGACCUCCUUUAACCCUCAAAUAUGAAAUCAUUAGAUUGCAUUUUGGUGUUCCUUAAGUCUUUGGUUAGUGCAGCAAGAUUAAUAUUUAUAAAUGUAUUCAGUAAUUCCGAAGAUUAAAAUUUAAAUACAAAUGGAGAUUCUGCUUUUAUUUUGCAAGAACGUUUGCUGAAGAUGACCUUAGAGGAGAGACGCAAAGAAUACAUAAGGGACUAUGUUUCUCUGAGCACCAUUCUGUCAUGGAAGGAAGAGAUGAAGAGCAAAGGCCAAAAUGAUGGAUGCAUCCCUAAUGGUUGGAGAAAUGGUGGAGAAUGUCAUGGGAGAGAGAACCUGCGGAUCCUUGCCUGAGACAGUAAUGGAAAGGAAAUCUUACAGCUUGGGCAAUAGGAAAAGAGGCCCUUUAUCUGAUCUUGUUUUCCAGUCCAUUUUGAAUCAAGAAAGACUCAUUGAAGACUCCUUGAGAAGAGUCUGCUUUGAAGAAGACAAACAGAAAAAAAAGGGUGGGCAAGAGUGUGAACUUCCUGAAGGCAAACAGACAAGAAGGGUGGGAGACACAUGCAGUUUUGUUGCAUGUCUAAUACUGACCUUCCUGGAGUCAACAUUGAGAACUGAGACGGUAUUAAGUUUAAAAAUGACUGAAUUUUGUGAGUUUUAAAGUAAACUGCAGAUCUUCUACUGUGGCCAGGCUUUGGAUUUGAGAUCCAGGACUAUGUCUGUCUACUGGCUGUCGCCAUCGGUCUUGAACAUUCAGAAGCACUCACUACUUUGACUGCAUGAGUGAUGGCAGUUGGCUUCUUUUCAGCAGCCCUUCCAAGAUGAAUAAAAAUAGUGUCUGCCAAAACCUAAAACAUACUCUUGUGUGUUUGUCACAGACUUUGUAACAUAUUCCUCUUGCAUUUUAAAAUUUUAUGCUGCUUAACUUUAAUUAUGAUUUUUGUCAAUAAAUAACUUUUCAAAAGAA
rnacentral:sRNA from 1 species